AUACAAAUCACAUGGCAUCUUGUUAAAAUGCAGAUUCUGAUUCAGGAGGUCUGAGGUGGGGACUAAGACCCUGCACUUCUAAAAAGUUCCUAGGUGAUACUGAU
rnacentral:pre_miRNA from 1 species